rnacentral:rRNA from 1 species
AGUGAACGCUGGCGGUAGGCCUAACACAUGCAAGUCGAACGGCAGCACAGUAAGAGCUUGCUCUUACGGGUGGCGAGUGGCGGACGGGUGAGGAAUACAUCGGAAUCUACUUUUUCGUGGGGGAUAACGUAGGGAAACUUACGCUAAUACCGCAUACGACCUACGGGCGAAGGCAGGGGAUCUUCGGACCUUGCGCGAUUGAAUGAGCCGAUGUCGGAUUAGCUAGUUGGCGGGGUAAAGGCCCACCAAGGCGACGAUCCGUAGCUGGUCUGAGAGGAUGAUCAGCCACACUGGAACUGAGACACGGUCCAGACUCCUACGGGAGGCAGCAGUGGGGAAUAUUGGACAAUGGGCGCAAGCCUGAUCCAGCCAUACCGCGUGGGUGAAGAAGGCCUUCGGGUUGUAAAGCCCUUUUGUUGGGAAAGAAAAGCAGCAGGUUAAUACCCCGCUGUUCUGACGGUACCCAAAGAAUAAGCACCGGCUAACUUCGU